rnacentral:tRNA from 1 species
AGUAAAGUCAGCUAAAAUUUAAGCUAGUGGGCUCAUACCCCAAAAAUGAUUACUUCCUUUAUUA